rnacentral:rRNA from 1 species
GUGACCUCGGAUCGGAG